rfam:Picea glauca, whole genome shotgun sequence.
GUAUCUUAAGAAACAUCCAAUAAAAAUGGAAUGAUAUAGAGAAAAUUAUCAUGGUUAUUGUACAAGGAUGAAGUGUAAAUUGAGAGAUGGUCCAAACUUUU